rnacentral:lncRNA from 1 species
GAGAGAUGAUCCAUGGAGGGUGCCACAAACACGAUGCACAACCGCUAAGAAAGGAAAGCUUCCACAAGAUGAUACUGUACCAUCACUCUUCAAGCAAGGUAACAUCUUAAGGUACUUGACUAUCACUUUUAUAAGCUUCCCCUUGGUUCUGGCGUUCAUAUAAAUAAAAGAGACAAACGUGUAUGAUUUACAACUCUAGAUUAACCAACCCAACUGAUUCAACAUGUUUAGUCCUUUAAUCCUUGUUCUUAGUACUACCUCCAUGAUCCCACACUCCUAAUCAUAUGAGCUAAAAUGUUACACAUUCAAUCAUUGAGAGAUAUAAAGAAAAAGACAUAUACAUAGAUAGAUUAUCUUUCCAUAAGAUUGAGCGAUCUGAUCUGACAAAUGUUAUAAGUGCUACACUCAUGAACUUAUCAUCCAUCAACUUUGUCUUGCUCACUAUGCUUAAGGUUAGAGAAGAACAAAUACACUUUUGGUUCUGUUGGUGUUUUCCACCAACAAGGCCCUUGCACUUGAACUCUGCCUUGUCUCUAUGAGCAGGUACACUACGAGCACAAACACACUGAGCAAGAUACUGCUAACACCGCACUUCGAACUGUUGGGCAAACGAAGAACAUGGGUGACACCGUAUUAAAAGGUGCAGACGUCAAGGUCCGCACCUGAAUCAAAUGACGCACCUGAAGAAUGAACACGGUGAGAAGCCUUGUCAAGAAGACUUAAAACAUUGAACCCUCGCCGAAAGGUAAGAUUGGUAGUUAUCCAUAUUUAUCCUUUCUGCAUUCCCUUUUCCCUUUAAUUAUUUACUUUCCUUAAAUAGAUUAUUAGUUAAUCAUGCUAUCUUGAAAGAAAAUAAAGAUGUUAAAAAAUACUAAGCCCCAUGUGAGUAUACGAGUGGCAUAAAACCCAUAAGUACCUUCACUGUGGUGGCAUAAGAAUAAAAUAAAUAUUUCUUUUCUACUAUAUAAAAUAAAAAUAUAAAAACAGGGAGUAAUAUUUAUUGAGGAAGCUCAACAUGAUGAAGGCUAGAUAUUUAUGCUAACACUUAAUUAGUUCCACAAGCUUUGUUGUCUAUUUGAGCUCCACAGAAUUUAAGAAUCAAGAAGACUAGCAGACGAAGGACAUUCUAAUCGCUGUCAGAAUGCUGCUCACUUUCAAAUACACCUCUGCCACCUGUUAGCUACAUCAAGAGAAAUUACGUCAAAAUUCAGCUUGGGGGAGAGCACCCCCAUUUAUCUCGCUAAGUAUUUCUACCUAUCUUUAUACUUAUAUUAUAUUAGAAUAUUAAAAUACAUAAACUAUGAAAAACCAAAUAAAGAUUUUGUGCUUAUAUAUAUAUCUUUUGCUUAGUGUGUUUAAUAAAUAAAUAAAGUGGCUAUGCUAAUCUGAAUCUUAAUAAUAAAACUCUAGCAUGGAUAUGAUGAAUAGUUGCUCUGCCUAAUUUGCAAAUUUGAAGUUCUCUCUCAAGUUUAGACAUAACUGUUAUAAUUUAAAGCUUGCUCUAGAUCUAAACUUGUGGGAUGAAAACUUGAUCUGAAAUCUAAGUUGUUAACGGAUAAGAUAUGGGAAGGUUGAGCUGCUGUUUAUCUGUUCCUAGCGAUGCUAGAAUUCUGGAGAAUUUUAUCUUUGAAAAUAUUUAAAAUGUUGCAUGAUGAGUUUCUGUAAUGAUGAAAGUUUAAAUUCCUACCACAGCCAUAUAUACAUGCUUGCUAGACUUUGAGCCACACAUUUAUUAUUUACUGCUUAUGAGCAUUGAGUGUGGUCAAGCUGUGUAGACCCUUAGGAGCUUGUCAUGUGGUUAAAUCAAGAUUCACUUGCACGUUCACUCAUAUAUGCUACUUCUACUUCGGAAGUACCAUCCACAUAUAUCCAUCCAUUUCCAUCUCCAGAAUCACCUAAAAAUAUUCUACUCCUAAUUCGGGAGAGAAUAGCCAAAAACAUCUAUGUUUUUCCCUUGUGAAAUAAAUGCUCAAGUUAUCUUGCUACUACCACUUGCUAUAUUAUCUCAAGAGAUGAGUGCUCAGAAAAAAAAAAUAAAAAAUAUAAAAAAUAAACGAGGAAAUAAAAAGGGGCAAGUGCCCGGAACCUCGAAAGAAAAGAAAAAGAGUGAGACGAGAGGUAAAAAUGGACAAGUGUCCGACAGCAGAAUUAGGGGUACAGGAUACCCACCUGAGAGGAAAGAAAAAGAAGAGCAUCUCAUUCUCCUCAUAAAGUUUCAAAAAGCAAGGAAGGUAUGUAUCCCCUCAUAAGAGCAAAAGUAGAAUUAGACUUUCACCAUUGUUAUCACCAUCAUCACUAUACACCAUUCAUUCGCCACACAUGCACAUCUUGAUUUGGCUUAUUGAUUUGUUUCUUUGGAUCCAUGGUUUGACUAUACAAUAAAUGUCUUGUAAGUAUGUAUACUUUAUCUCCCACCUAUGAGCUCCAGAUAUUAAAGCCUUAUUAGAGUAGGGUGAGAGAGAAGGCAAUGUCACUAUGCCUUAUACCACAAAUACCACAUAUUUUGAGAGAAGGCAUAUACCAUCACUGCCUUGGUAAGGAUCCAGAAAUACCACAAAAGAGAGAUAUGAGAGAGUCAUACAAAGGAAUCUCUGAGUUUUAUUUGAAAAUCUGCAAAAACUCCAGAGCUAUAGCUGAUCAAGAAUAAGAGACAUGGCACUUGACGGGACUGUUCUAUCUUUUAACCACUCAAUACAGAAGUGACGGUUACAAGUCCCAUGGUGAAAGGUAAAGUAAGUAAGUUUUAAGUCUUGACAGUUUACUCUAACUCAGAGAUGAGACCUCAUUUAAAAGCAUGUGUACUGUCAAUUUUUAAAGAUAUUGCAACAACUUAUGAUCCAUAGCUGAGUCUAUCCUUACUCAGGGACGAGCAAGAGGUAAGCUUGGGGGAGUUUGUUGACGGUCCUUAAGUAUCAAAUUUAACUAUCAAAUAAACAAAGAAAAGGAUCCAAAUGAAAUCAACAUCAAGACUUAGGGUUUUAUCUGACAGAAUCCCACGAGUUUUGGUGUUUGCCUAUUUCUGCAGGGGGUUAUCAGGAAAUAAGGAAGAAAGGCCCACACGUCGGGAUUACAUAGAGAUAUCAACGUGCCGCGCAAUUAUCUUACAUCUAGAAGACUCCAGAAGCCACGGGAAGGAAGCGGAGACCGAACGGAGUCAGGGACAGGGCGCCCGCCCAAGUCCUUAGGGCGCCCGCCCACCUUUUUCGGCCAAUCACGCUCAAUCUCGCGGAUUAUGCUCCACCGAUCUAAAGGAUCAAGAAUAACCGUUCAAUCAAUGUCGGUUUGAUCCGACGGCCCAGGUUUACUUGAGGGGACUAUAAAACCAGACCCCCUGGCCCCUGGAGGAGGCACCCCUUUAUCAUUAUUCAUUAUUCAUAGACAGAGCAAAAGCUAGGGUUUAGAGAUGAGAGCUCUCCUCUCUUCUCUAAACUAGAGUAGAUCUAGAUAGUAGCGAGAUGGAGAGCGAAGGAGGAUUAGAGGAGAGGCCGGCCUGUCGGUUCUUCCUCCAGUUGUACUUCGCCAUGAUCAAGCUCUAAUCAAGCUUGCUCAUGGGAUGACUCUGGUAAUCUACUUCUAAUUCAUUAUGUAAUUACUAAUCAUGUAUGUUCUGGUUCACAACUCUUUUGAGUACUUCUAAUCUAUAGGACCCUAUAGGUUAGAGUUGUAGUAUAGGUGUAAGCGUGGUGCUUAGACCUGGAUUACUUGUGGAUAUCCCCUGACUAGCUGGAUCGUGUGGUAGGCCUCGUAGGUGACAAUUACGUUGGUCCCCUGUAGUCCACCUCUCGUUAGCAGGACGGGUAGGGUUUAUCGGCCUAUGGAUAAGCAUCCUUUGUGGUGUACUCUUACCACGUGGUUCGUCCCAGACAUAGACAUACCCCUUUGAAGUAGAGAAACCAUAGUUAUCCUCUCUAUUCUGCUACCAUCGCCCAUAUACUAGAAUUGUUCUAUUCUCUAUUCCCAUAUUAUCACUCACUGUUAUCUUACCUUUAAUAUUGUUCUUAUUCGAUUCUAUCAUCUUUCCUAUUUACACCUAUCUAUCUAUCUUGGUUAAGUUAGAGCGUAGUUGGUUCUCCCGUUUCCCUGUGGAUACGAUAAAACCUUUAAUCGGGUAAAAGCUUCAACGGUAUCCAUGCGCUUGCGGAUUAUCUGUGUGCGUAUAAAUACCAUAGUACACUCUAGUGCCAUGCUGGGGAUGACAACCUAGUAUUCAAGUGGUGUUAGCAAGUGUCAACACCAUCCUAUGACGGUGCGUUGCGGAAUUAGCUCGUUCUUUUCAUUCAUAAUAACAGUCAUGCCUCCCUUUUUGGGCACAACUUGUACUGGGCUCACCCACUCACUGUGCGGCACAGGAUAUAUAAUCCCUGCAUGCUGUUGGGUAUUGUUAACAUCAUUACCAAAAGUAGACUAAGUUCUCUAAAUCUAGUAACGGUGCCAAAAAUGCCAAACCUAUCCCUCACACCACUUAAGCCAAGUUGUCAUCCCCAGCAUGAUAUAAGAGACGCGGUAUUGAAAUAUGCAAUUGCUCUUCUAAAUAAAUAAUGAAUGGGAUCUGCAAGCGCACAGAUUAAUACCGAUGUAGCAUUUUAACCAGGAAGUAUUCUAGGUAUCGUUAUUUAUAUUUUUACCACUGGGAAGGGAUUAGAAAUCAUCACUAAUGAUUACAGAAUAGAAUAUGAGAUUGAGCAUCUAUCAUUGCAUGUAUAAUUGAGAACAUUAUAUCUAACUCCUCAUAAAGAGAUAAGUGUCACAUAAAAGAUAUAUGAAAUAAUAAUAGUGACAAGGAUAACUAAUCUGAUCUAGCCACAUAAUAAAUAUGAUAAGCACCUCAAUUAGAUACUCUAGAAAGUCAUUAGCAUGGUAUUAGAACGAACUACAAGAAUAUUCCCUAAGUUAUUCUUAACUAUAUAGUCUAGCAUUAUCAUAGUUAGUGCAAGCAUACUUAGCAAUCAUUGCGAGACAAGAUUACGCCCAUGCAUAGUGAUAUUAGCAAGGAAUAUGAGAAACAUAGCAAUCACUCCCCUGUAAUAAUGUUGCUCUGCCAGCCCAAUACACGAGAGGGGGACUAUAUAAGAAUCAAUGAAGCUGUCACUAUCACAAACCACCCCACGAUCUGGCAUAUUGGGUACAAUCGCAGAUAAAUACGCUAUAAGCACCACGCCUACACAAUAUCUAUCAUUUACCCAUGGAUCCGAUGGAUAAACGCUAUACGAUCCUAAGCAUGUAUAUAGAUCGAAUCUAACUAAGCCAAGUACAUAACCAUGAUAAACUAAGAACAAUAUAAUCUUGUAUAAGCAAGUAGAGCAAAGUCAUAAGCAAUAUAUUGAAGUAGAACAAAGUCAUAUUCAUAAUAUUGAAGAACAAAGAUAAUUAGAAAGCAAUUAGAAGCACAAUUAGACAAUUACCAAGAAUUCUCUUGACAGAUCCGGAAACCAAUCGAAGAUUGACUCCUUCUAGUUCCAAUCCUAUGUAGCUAUGCUAAUCUAGAUAUCUAAUUGAUGUGGUGGCUCUAAUCUUGAUCAGAGGCUUCUUCUCCCUUGAUGGAACAAUGAAUUAGGGUUGAGAGGCUCUCUCCUCCAGGGGCCAGGGGGUCUGGUUUUAUAGUCCCUCCAAGUGAAUAUGGGCCCUUGGAUCAAACCGACAUAGAUUGUAUGGUUUAGAUUCAUCCUUUAGGUCGGUGGAAAUCUCCCGCAAAGCAGAGUCCUGAUUGGACUCAGGGGCAGGGCGGGCGCCCUGACCAACUGGGCGGCCGCCCAGGGUCAGGCCCCGUUUCGCCUCCGCUUCGGUCUCGUGGCUUCUGGAGUCUUCUAGAUGUAAGAUAAUUGCGCGGCACGUUAAUAUCUCUAUGUAAUCCCAACGUGUGGGCCUUUCUUCCAUAUUUCCUGAUAACCCCCUGCAGAAAUAGACAAACACCAAAACUCGUGGAAUUCUGUCAGAUAAAACCCUAAGUCUGGAUCUUUAUUUCAUUUGGAUCCUUUUCUUUAUUUAUUUGAUAAUUAAAUUUGAUACUUAAGGACCGUCAACACAUGCAGCAGCUUUAUAACUUCCUUUAUAACUACCUCUCUCAUAGUGUUGUUAAGUCUAUGUUGGGGUUCUCGAGAGGGUGAAACAGAAGGAUCUGUUGGAAUACGAUGGGUACAAAUCAUACGACUGAUUCCUGUAAGAUCUUGGAGUGAGUAGCCGAAAACUGAGUGAUGUUUCUCAAGAAUGGUCAUUAAUCGCAGAGUUUGAGCCUGAGUGAGUUUAUCGCUAAUGAUCAUAGGGAACUCUGGAUUAUUGUUUAGGAAAGCAUAGGUAAGACCGGGUGGUAAAAUUUUAAGCUCUAUGGGGGGUCUAGGUGUUUCUGCAAACUCAUCUAAGGGUUCAGGCUCAGAAGGUUCGUCUUCUUCUUCUGUGAAGAAAGGAGUUUCGUCUUCUAAGUCUGGUUCAUCUAAAAGCUCAAGAGAUGCAGCCUUUACUUCCUCCAUAGGAUCAGGCAAAAGAUAUGACUCGGCCUUAUUGUUUAAGGAGUGUGAAAUUAUUAUUGGGAAUUUAAAAGUUUUUCUAAAAGAAAUGUGUAGCUUUCCAGUAUGACCUUCAUAAAGGAGUCUUCUAAAAGGUUGUCCUAUUAACAGGUCGAAGUCCCAUGUAUCAAAGAUAUAGAAGUUCAAAUGAACCAUGGAGCCUUCUACCGUAAGAGGUAGGACAUUAAUAAUUCCAAGACUGGGGACUAAUCGUCCCAAAGAUUCCUUUAUGACCUUUGUUGUGGGGGUUAAGAUAAGAUUUUUAAAUAGUUUAAGUGCAAAGGAUUCAGACAUGAUGUUGAUCCCCACAAUAGGAUUAUAGAGAGCAUUAAAUCGAUCAGAAUUAUAAGCAUAGCGUAUAGUUAUAGAGGGUGUGUCCAAACGGAUCACAUCAGAGGAAAGCUCAGAUUCCUCCAACCAUUCGCUACUCAUUACUAAGAUAAGCUCUCUCAAUUGAUAUUCACUUGGCAAAUAAAUGCUAAAAUUGCCAUUUUGGGGUUUGUCAAUAGAAUGGUAGUUUGAAAUAUUUCCAAAAUCGGCAAAAAGAUCGGAUUCUAUAUCCAGCAUGAAGUCCGGUGGUGGAAUUUCUUCCUCUUGUGGCUCAGAACUUGGGAUAGCUAAAGUAGAUGAAGAAUUUGGCAGAGUGUCUACUUCGGCUUCAUAGGUUUCAUCAUGAAGGGUAUUAUCCAUCUCAGCUCCUAGGAUUCUAUCUAGGAUCACUCUAGCUUCAUCAGCAGGGAUGCGAAAGAAAGAACCUCUAGACAUUGUGUGAAGCAUUUGUUUGUGAUUUUUAUGAAGACCUCGAAAAAAGUGAAAUAAAAGAACAAGGUCUUCAAGAUUAAGGUUUGGACCAGAUUCUAAAAGGUCAGAAAAACGUCUCCAGGAUUUCCCCAAAGUUUCAUUAUCUUUUUGUUUAAAAGAUAGGACUUCGAGUCUAAGGUCGGCUAUACGGUCAAGGGAAUAGAAAUCUAGACAAAAGUUGGCUCGUAAAACUCCCCAUUCACCUUGUUGUUGACUUACCUUCUGACUGUACCAUUGUCUAGCUUCUCCCCUUAAAGUAAAAGGAAAAAGCUUCCAACGUAAAGUUUUAUCAGAAAUGCCUUCAAUGCGAAGACAAUCACAUGUUUGCUCAAAAUCUCUAAUAUGAAGGUAAGGGUUUUCGUCUUCCUUUCCCGAAAAAGAUAGGUUUUGAAUCAUGGCAAUCAACCUAGAACUUAACUUAUACUAGGAUGUUUGGAUAGGCUGUGAUGACUCCCAUGGUAAAAGGUCAGUUGCUAAAGGGAUUGCAGAUUCAUGGAUCGAUUUAGAAUUUUGGUUUUCCAUAAGGUAAGAGUAAAGAAAAUAAAGAAUAUAAAAGAUAAGAAAAGAUAAAAGUAUAGAUACAAGCUAGUAGCAAGACUCAGGUUAUCUCAGCAACCGUCUUUCUCCCCGGCAACGGCGCUAGAAAUGCCCGUUGAUAUUUGGGAACGCAAUAAGGAAUUGAUCCGCAAGCGCACGGAUAUCGGUGAGCACUUCACCCGGGAAAUUAUCCAGAGUAUCGUAUUUAUUUUUUUACCACUAGGAGAAAGAGUGCAUCUGGCUAACCGGUCUAUUACUACUAACCUUUAGGCACAAAGAAUGUCUUUCGAUGUGAGUGAUAAAUAGAGAAGACUGCAACCGUAGUCUCCUUCUAACCUUGGUAAGGAUGAUUUACGGUUCUAAUGGGGAGGCUAACGGAAUCUAGACAACACAAAGGAUGUUCGAUCCGCACCUAUAAACCCUAUCCUUCCUGCUAACGAGAUGUGAUCUACAAAGGUAGCUCGGAAUUGUCACGUUGCUCACUACUACUACGGUCCAGCUAGUCAGGGAAUAUCUAUGAGUACCCCAGCCUAAACACCACGUUUACGCCAGAAAUGAUUACUCUAAACUCUACGCGAAGAGAUUAAAGUAAACUCAUAAACCAUAAGAACAAUAAAACAAGAACUUACUAGAAUUUAGAAGUCGAAUUACUGAAGAAUCCUAGGAGCAAGCUUCGGGUUAGGAGAACUUGAUCCCGCAGGUACAAGCUUGGAGUAGACACCGACAGGCCGGGCUUCCUCCAAUCUACACCUCCACUCUAUCUCUCUCAAUCUAGUAGAAACUAGAAGAUCUAUUUCUACCUUACAUUGAUUGCUUAGCCUAAAAAGAAAUAUUAAUUAGAGAAGAGGUUUUCAUUCGAGGGCACCCCUCAGUCUCUAUGAUAAUUUCUUCAUGUCUUCUCCAGGGGCCAGGGGGGUCUCCUUAUAUAGUCCUCCCCUUCUAUGCAUUUUUGGGUCGAUAGGCGAGGUGGUACUAUGUUUUUCUUGAUCCAAUAGGUCGGUGGAAUAUCCCGAGCGAAGAGAGUCCUGAAAGCAAUCCAGCAGGGGGCGGGCGCCCUAGGCCUGGCCCCCUUCGGCCUCCCUCUUCUUCCCGUGGCUUCUGGAGUCUUCUAGAUGGUGGAAAAUCAUGCGGUGCGUUGAUAUCUCUAUGUAAUCCCGACAUGUGGGCCUUUCUUCCUUAUUUCCUGAUAACACCCUGCAGAAAUAAAUAAACAACAAAACUCGUGGAAUUCUAUCAAAUCAAACCCUAAUUCUAGGUGUUAGUUGCAUAUUGGUCCUUUCUCUUGUUUAUUUGAUAAUUAAAAUUGAUACUUAAGAACCGUCAACACCAACCAAGGCUGGAAUGAAGAGAGGACCCAGACACGCAAGAAAGGUGGAGGUACGCAUCAGCUCAAGGAGGUAGACAUGCUGUCUGCAAAGCUAGACCUGCUCAUGAAGAAGCUCGAUGAUAGAGCUAGAGAUAAGAAAGAAGUUAUGCACAUCUACGACUCUCACAUGACUUGUGAAGAGUGUGGAGAUACUGGACACUCAGGCAAUCACUGCCCUGAGAUGCUUGAGGAUGUGAACUAUAUCAACAACAACAACUACUACUACUACUACAACCGUCCUCAACAAAAUCAAGGUUGGAAUCAACAAAGGCCUAACUACUCAGGUAAUUAUCAAUGUAACAAUUCUUACAACAGUAAUAAUAAUUUUCCACCUUUGAGAGAGUUAGUAUAUAAUCAAGGAAAGCUAAUGGAUAACCUAUCUAAAAAAUUGGCAUCUAAUGAUAAAAUGCAAGAAAAUAUAAAUAAUAGAAUGGAUAAUUUCUCUACUGCCAUCAAGAAUCAAAUUAGCUUUAAUAAAAUGAUUGAAUCCCAGUUAAAUCAAAUAGCUGUUGUUGUUCCUUCUACUAACCCCGGUAUACCAUCACAACCGGAAGGAUUAGAAUCAGCAAAUCUUGUAGACAUGUUUGAUGCAGGUAACUACUGGAGUAACCCCAUCACUGAAGUUACUACUGACCUUCUGCCGCUCAAGAGAGGCGAUCCAGGACGCCCCGUCAACCCGAUCUCCAUCGGCAUGGUGGACUUCCCAAAAGCACUCUGCGACUUUGGCUCCAGCGUCAACAUUAUGCCCAGGGUAUCUAUGAAAAAUUCUUUACAUAUGCUUUAUUAGAAACAACCAUGUGUUUGCAGUUUGCAGAUCAGGCGUUAAGUUUUCCAAAGGGAAUAUUGAAGAACCUCUGUGUCUGAGUUGGUACCUUUUACGUCCCAGCAGACUUCAUGGUGAUAGAGACCGGUAAUGAUGAGAAGGCACCCAUCAUCUUAGGGAAGCCAUUCUUAAACAACUUGGGAGCUGUCAUCUAUGCUAGUGCUGCCAAGAUCAGUUUCUACAUCAAAGGGAGGAAGGAGACGUUUUCCUUCAAGAACAAGACUACACAGAUCCCAGAGCAAUCUCGACAUGAACCAAGGAAGAGGACAAACAAGAGGAACAAGAACAAGCAAGUGUGGACCGAAUCAGCUAAGAUGAUCACUGCAGUUCAUGAAGGACAAGAUCAUCAACUUAAGUCACCGUUUCUGACCAAGAAGGACGACCUAGGAAUGCCAAGCAUCUAUUGCUCCAUCAAUGGGUACAACUUCUACAAGACAUUUUGCGACACCGGAUCGGGCGUCAACAUAAUGGCCGCGGUCACCUAUCGGCUCUUGUUCGGAACCAUGCCCCUAAAACCAACAUACAUUCAGCUCCAGAUGGCAGAUCAUACAUUUCGAGAGGUUAAAGGUAUAGUAACUGAUGUCCCUGUCAAAAUAGAUGAUCAUUUUGUCUACACAGACUUUCAGGUUAUUGACAUGGGAGAAGAAGAAUAUGAUCCACCCGUCAUCCUUGGAAGACCAUUCCUCAGCACCGUUAAAGCAAUCAUCUACAUUAGAACUGGAGAAGUCCAUAUGCACUUUCCCUCUGAGAAGGUACGCCGCUAUUUUACUGACCCUAACUAUAUCGUUGAAGACUCUAAGCAGGUCAGGACAAGAAGAAAACGACGCAACCGCAACCAGAAGAGGUAAAUCAUCAAGGACGGAUGGGCAGACUAUGAAGGAGAAGUAGUAAGGUCUGAAGACAUACAGCUUGAACAAGACUAUCCUGAGGAGACCGUAGCACCGAGUCAGGUGUGGAAAGAGAAGAUAACUAUACACGAAGAGGAGGCGCCGCUGGAAGCACCAACUGCGCCACCCAACGUACCCCAGGACAACUGAGAAAAUGAAGCGUCCCGUUCGGAGGACUUAAAAACACCGAACGCCUUGCCAAGAGGUAAACUUGGUAGUUAUCCUUUCCCUUUUAAAUAUUUAAAAUAGUUUACUUAGUUAAUUAUGUUCAUACUAUCCUAAAAAGAAAAUAAAAAUGUUAAAAAAUAGUAAGCCCCAUGUGAGUAUAUGAGUGGCAUAAAACCCAUAAGUACAUUCACUGUGGUGGCAUAAAAAUAAAAUAAAUAUUUCUUCUACUCUAUAAAAUAAAAAUAUAAAAAUAGAGAGUAAUAUUUAUUGAGGAGGCUCAACAUGAUAAAGGCUAGAUAUUUAUGCUAACACUUAAUCAGUUGCACAAAGCUUUGUUGUCUAUUUCAGCUCCACAUAAUUUAAGAAUCAAGAAGACUAGCAGACGGAGGACAUUCUAAUCGCUGUCAGUGUACUGCCGACUUUCAAAUACACCUCUGCCACCUGCUAGCUACAUCAGAAGAAAUUACGUCAAAAUUCAGCUUGGAGGAGAGCACCCCCAUUUAUCUCGCUAAGUAUUUCUAUCUAUCAUUAUACUUAUACUAUAUUAAAAUAUAAAUAUACAUAACUAUGGAAAACCAAAUAAAGAUUUUAUGCUUAUAUAUAUAUAUAUCUUUUGCUUAGUGUGUUUAAUAAAUAAAUAAAGUGGCUAUGCUAAACUGAAUCUUAAUAAUAAACCUCUAGCAUGGAUAUGAUGAAUAGUUGCUCUACCUAAUUUUUCAAAUUUAAGUUUUCUCUCAAGUUUAGACAUAACUGUUAUAAUUUAAAGCUUGCUCUAAACCUAAACUUGUGGGAAGAAAACUUGAUCUGAAGUCUAUGUUGUUAAUGGAUAUGAUAUGGGAAGGUUGAGCUGCUGUUUAUCUGUUCCUAGAGAUGCUAGAAUUCUGGAGAAUUUUAUCUUUGAAAAAUCUUUAAAAUAUUGCAUGAUGAGUUCCUGUAUGAUGAGAGUUUAAAUUCCUACCAUAGCCAUAUAUACAUGCUUGCUAGACUUUGAGCCACACAUUUACUUUUUACUACUUAUGAGCAUUGAGUGUGGUCAAGCUGUGUAGACCAUUAGGAGCUUGUCAUGUGGUUAAAUCAAGAUUCACUUGCACGUUCACUCACACAUGCUGCUUCUACUUUGGAAGUACGCAUCCACAUAUAUCCACUCAUUUCCAUCUCUAGAAUCACCCAAAAAAUAUUCUACUCCUAAUUCGGGAGAGAAUAGCCAAAAACAUUUCUGUUUUUCCCCUAUGAGAUAAAUGCUCAACUUAUCUUGGUUACUACCACUUGCUAUAUUAUUUCAGGAGAUGAGUGCUCUAAAAAAAAGAGAUACGAGGAAAUAAAAAGGGGCAAGUGCCCAGAACCUCGAAAGAAAAGAAAAAGUCAGACGAGAGGUAAAAAUGGACAAGUGUCCGACAGUAAAAUUAGGGGUACAAAAUACCCACCUGAGAGAAAAAAAAUAGAGCAUCUCAUUCUCCUCAAAAAGUUUCAAAAGAGCAAGAAAGGUAUGUAUCCCCUCAAGAGAGCAAAAGUAGAAUUAGACUUUCACCAUUAUCAUCACCAUAUACCAUUCAUUCGCCACACAUGCACAUCUUGAUUUGAUUUAUUGACUUGUUACUUUGGAUCCAUGGUUUGACUAUACAAUAAAUGUCUUGUAGGUAUGUAUACUUUAUCUCCCACCUAUGAGCUCCAGAUAUUAAAGCCUUAUUAGAGUAGGGUGAGAGAGAAGGCAAUGUCACUAUGCCAUAUACCACAAAUACCACAUAUUUCGAGAGAAGGCAUAUACCGUCACUGCCUUGGUAAGGAUCCAGAAAUACCACAA